rnacentral:rRNA from 1 species
UGGGGAAUUUUGGACAAUGGGGGCAACCCUGAUCCAGCCAUUCCGCGUGAGUGAAGAAGGCCUUCGGGUUGUAAAGCUCUUUCAGCUGGAACGAAACGGUACGCUCUAACAUAGCGUGCUAAUGACGGUACCGGCAGAAGAAGCACCGGCUAACUACGUGCCAGCAGCCGCGGUAAUACGUAGGGUGCGAGCGUUAAUCGGAAUUACUGGGCGUAAAGCGUGCGCAGGCGGAUUAUUAAGCAAGACGUGAAAGCCCCGGGCUUAACCUGGGAAUGGCGUUUUGAACUGGUAGUCUAGAGUGUGUCAGAGGGGGGUGGAAUUCCACGUGUAGCAGUGAAAUGCGUAGAUAUGUGGAGGAACACCAAUGGCGAAGGCAGCCCCCUGGGAUAACACUGACGCUCAUGUACGAAAGCGUGGGUAGCAAACA